GUUGCCAUCAGGUAAUGCUGGGGACUCUAAAGGAACUGCCUACGCAAGUAGUGAGGAAGGCGGGGAUGACGUCAAAUCAGCACGGCCCUUACGUCCAGGGCUACACACGUGCUACAAUGGCCGAUACAGAGGGCAGCUACCUGGUGACAGGAUGCAAAUCUCCAAAGUCGGUCUCAGUUCGGAUCGGAGUCUGCAACCCGACUCCGUGAAGUUGGAUUCGCUAGUAAUCGCGCAUCAGCCAUGGCGCGGUGAAUACGUUCCCGGGCCUU
rnacentral:rRNA from 1 species